GGGUUGUGAGGUUAAGCGACUAAGCGUACACGGUGGAUGCCCUGGCAGUCAGAGGCGAUGAAGGACGUGCUAAUCUGCGAUAAGCGUCGGUAAGGUGAUAUGAACCGUUAUAACCGGCGAUUUCCGAAUGGGGAAACCCAGUGUGAUUCGUCACACUAUCAUUAACUGAAUCCAUAGGUUAAUGAGGCGAACCGGGGGAACUGAAACAUCUAAGUACCCCGAGGAAAAGAAAUCAACCGAGAUUCCCCCAGUAGCGGCGAGCGAACGGGGAGCAGCCCAGAGCCUGAAUCAGUGUGUGUGUUAGUGGAAGCGUCUGGAAAGGCGCGCGAUACAGGGUGACA
rnacentral:rRNA from 1 species